UCUGUGAGAAGGUUACUAUCUACAUUGUCCACAGCCGACUUGUGUCCCUGGACUGCUGACUAGUCAUCAUCGGUCUGAAGGUGACAGUGAGUGGCAGAAGAAACAAACCACAUAAUGGAGAAGAACAAUACAUGGAUGGAUUAUUUUAUUAUAAAAGAUCAAUACAAUCAACCACUUCUUCUGUGAUCUUCUUGCCAUUAUGAAGCUCUUUUGUCAUGGUGCAACCAGUAUGGAACAUUUAAUAUAUGUGGAGUCAGUGUUUGUUGGUUUUCUGCCAUUCACUCUUACCAUUAUGUCUUACAUCUACAUUAUUCAAGCCAUUCUUCGGAUCCAUUCCAGCACUGGUAGACGUAAAGCCUUCUAUACAUGUUUCUCUCACAUCACAGUCGUGUCCCUGCUCUAUGUGUCUCUUUUUUGUUUGUACAUGAGACCCACCUCAUCGUUCACUCUAGACAUUGAUAAGAUAGUCUCACUGAUUAUUACCACAUUAACACCCAUGUUAAAUCCUCUGAUCUAUAGUUUUAAAAACAAAGAUGUUAUAAAGGCCUUUGGGCGCCUCAUUGCUAUAAACAAUAAUGAACUUCUGGGAUUUCUCAACAAAUUCCCAUCCCUCAUUUAUGUAUCCUUAAAGUCUAAAAGUCUGAAGUCUUAAGAACAUUAAAAUUUGUUGACUGU